rfam:Niastella koreensis GR20-10, complete genome.
GGGAGUUUAGCUCAGUUGGUUCAGAGCAUCUGCCUUACAAGCAGAGGGUCGGCGGUUCGAGCCCGUCAACUCCCA